AGAGAUGGGUGUGCCUCUUUUGGGGUCGGUUCACAGGUGGUGCAUGGCUGUCGUCAGCUCGUGUCGUGAGAUGUUGGGUUAAGUCCCGCAACGAGCGCAACCCUUGUUCACUGUUGCCAGCACGUUAUGGUGGGGACUCAGUGGAGACCGCCGGGGUCAACUCGGAGGAAGGUGGGGAUGACGUCAAGUCAUCAUGCCCCUUAUGUCCAGGGCUUCACGCAUGCUACAAUGGCUGGUACAGAGAGUGGCGAGCCUGUGAGGGUGAGCGAAUCUCGGAAAGCCGGUCUCAGUUCGGAUUGGGGUCUGCAACUCGACCUCAUGAAGUCGGAGUCGCUAGUAAUCGCAGAUCAGCAACGCUGCGGUGAAUACGUUCCCGGCCUUGUACACACCGA
rnacentral:rRNA from 1 species